CCUACGGGAGGCUGCAGUAGGGAAUAUUGCUCAAUGGGGGAAACCCUGAAGCAGCAACGCCGCGUGGAGGAUGAAGGUUUUCGGAUUGUAAACUCCUUUUGUUAGAGAAGAUAAUGACGAUAUCUAACGAAUAAGCACCGGCUAACUCCUUGCCAGCAGCCGCGGUAAUACUGAGGGUGCAAGCGUUACUCGGAAUCACUGGGCGUAAAGAUCGCGGAGGCGGGAUAGCAAGUCAGAUGUGAAAUCCUAUUGCUUAACCAUAGAACUGCAUUUGAAACUGGUAUUCUAGAGUAUGGGAGAGGUAGGUGGAAUUCUUGGUGUAGGGGUAAAAUGCGUAGAGAUAAAGAGGAAUACUCAUUGCGAAGGCGACCUGCUAGAACAUAACUGACGCUGAUGCGCGAAAGCGUGGGGAGCAAACAGGAUUAGAUACCCCAGUAGUC
rnacentral:rRNA from 1 species